rnacentral:rRNA from 1 species
AUGAACGCUAGCGGCAGGCCUCAUACAUGCAAGUCGAACGGGUGGUCGCAAGACCACUAGUGGCGCACGGGUGCGUAACGCGUAACCAACCUGCCCCGAUCUGGGGGAUAGCCCGCCGAAAGGCGGAUUAAUACCGCAUAUACCCGCAGCCUGGCAUCAGGCAACGGGGAAAGAUUUAUUGGAUCGGGAUGGGGUUGCGUGACAUUAGCUAGUUGGCGGGGUAAGGGCCCACCAAGGCGACGAUGUCUAGGGGACCUGAGAGGGUGAUCCCCCACACUGGCACUGAGAUACGGGCCAGACUCCUACGGGAGGCAGCAGUAGGGAAUAUUGGGCAAUGGGCGAGAGCCUGACCCAGCCAUGCCGCGUGCCGGAUGAAGGCCUUCUGGGUUGUAAACGGCUUUUCUCAGGGAAGAAAAAGACCUUGCGAGGUACACUGACGGUACCUGAGGAAUAAGCACCGGCUAACUCCGUG